rnacentral:rRNA from 1 species
UACGGAGGAGGCAAGCGUUAUCCGGAAUUAUUGGGCGUAAAGCGUCCGCAGGUGGCACCUCAAGUCUGCUGUCAAAGACCGGGGCCUAACCCCAGAAAGGCAGUGGAAACUGAAGUGCUAGAGUGCAGUAGGGGUAGAGGGAAUUCCCGGUGUAGCGGUGAAAUGCGUAGAGAUCGGGAAGAACAUCGGCGGCGAAAGCGCUCUGCUGGACUGCAACUGACACUCAGGGACGAAAGCUAGGGGAGCGAAUGGG